rnacentral:rRNA from 1 species
UGAGGAAUAUUGGUCAAUGGGCGCAAGCCUGAACCAGCCAAAUCGCGUGAAGGAAGACAGCCCUACGGGUUUUAAACUUCUUUUGUAAGGGAAUAAAAAAAGUUACGCGUAACUUCUUGCACGUACCUUACGAAUAAGCAUCGGCUAACUCCGUGCCAGCAGCCGCGGUAAUACGGAGGAUGCGAGCGUUAUCCGGAUUUAUUGGGUUUAAAGGGUGCGUAGGCGGAGACCUAAGUCAGCGGUGAAAUCUCGAGGCUCAACCUCGAACCUGCCGUUGAAACUGAGUCCCUUGAGUAUAGAUGAAGUAGGCGGAACUCGUUGUGUAGCGGUGAAAUGCAUAGAUAUAACGAAGAACCCCGAUUGCGUAGGCAGCUUACUAAACUAUCACUGACGCUGAGGC